ensembl:lncRNA
AUGAAAAAUGGGAAGAAGAAAAUGCUGAUUAGGGAGCUGCUGCCAGAUAACAACCAUGAAAUUCGGUCAAGCCAUUGUGAAGAAUCAAGUACUGAGACCAGCAGCACUUCAGUGGACAGCAGAUGUCUCUCCAUUGAUCAAGAGUCAUUCCAGUCCUUCGCUGGUACUGUCUGCAUUCGGGAUGUGACUUUCUCCUGUUCUACAUCUACAUUUAUUUCUAUAGCACUUUAUAUACUAUACAGGUUGUGUCAAAACAGCUUCAUAGAAAUAGUUAUUUCUAUGAGCAAUUAUGGAAACUCAUAUAUUCAGAUUCUGCUGUAAAGUAGCACUAAAAGACAAUAGUGUCAUCAUUUAGCUCAGGUCAGUUCAGAUCAAUAGAGUGUGAAGUUAAUUGAUCAGCUAAAGGCAGAUCUAUGUUAGGCAUGUUGCAGGAUGCACUCUCUUACAGAAAGCAAUAGUGCCAUCAUCCUGUUUAAUCGAGUUAAAAGUUUUGUCAAUGAGGUCAUAUUGAUAAAUUACGAACAGAUAAAUGUCUUUCAGACCACAACUAUGUAAACCAGAGGGCGACAGUGUAAUGAUAAAAUGCCUUUAUUUUAUUGGAAAAACUAUUUAAAAUAUUAAGGGUUAGUUCACACAAAAAUAGACCAUUUAAUGUUGGUUUUUCAGAUGUGUGUAAUGGACUUUAAUUGUCUGAAACAACACAUUAUAGAUUUUCCAGUUUGGGGUGAACCAUCCCUUAAAGUUAUUCCCUUCAGCAGAUGAAAUUCCUUGUCAGUCUUGUGUCUGUGAUACUUCUCAGGCAAAAGAACUCAAAUACAUUUGUGACC